rnacentral:rRNA from 1 species
AGCGAACGCUGGCGGCAGGCUUAACACAUGCAAGUCGAACGGGCGUAGCAAUACGUCAGUGGCAGACGGGUGAGUAACGCGUGGGAACGUACCUUUUGGUUCGGAACAACACAGGGAAACUCGUGCUAAUACCGGAUAAGCCCUUACGGGGAAAGAUUUAUCGCCGAAAGAUCGGCCCGCGUCUGAUUAGCUAGUUGGUGAGGUAACGGCUCACCAAGGCGACGAUCAGUAGCUGGUCUGAGAGGAUGAUCAGCCACAUUGGGACUGAGACACGGCCCAAACUCCUACGGGAGGCAGCAGUGGGAAUCUUAGGCAAUGGACGAAAGUCUGACCUAGCGACGCCGCGUGAGGGAAGAAGGCCUUCGGGUUGUAAACCUCUGUCAUGGGGGAAGAAGUAAGUGACGGUACCCAAGAGGAAGCCCUGCUAACUACGUGCCAGCAGCCGCGGUAAGAGUACUCUAU